rnacentral:rRNA from 1 species
AGAGUUUGAUCCUGGCUCAGGACGAACGCUGGCGGCGUGCUUAACACAUGCAAGUCGAACGGGAUCUGCGUGGCCUUUGUGGUUGUGUGGUGAGAGUGGCGAACGGGUGAGUAACACGUGAGUAACCUGCCUUUUUCUUUGGGAUAACGCUCAGAAAUGGGUGCUAAUACUGGAUGUUCUGCGCUUUCCGCAUGGGGGGUGUGGGAAAGGGGCCUUUGUGGUUUCUGGAGGGAGAUGGGCUCGCGGCUUAUCAGCUUGUUGGUGGGGUGAUGGCUUACCAAGGCUUUGACGGGUAGCCGGCCUGAGAGGGUGGGCGGUCACAUUGGGACUGAGAUACGSCCCAGACUCCUACGGGAGGCAGCAGUGGGGAAUUUUGCACAAUGGGGGGAACCUUGAUGCAGCGACGCCGCGUGAGGGAUGGAGGCCUUCGGGUUGUGAACCUCUUUCGCUCGUGUGCAAGCCGCUAUUUGGGUAGUGGUGAGUGUAGCGGGUAAAGAAGCGCCGGCUAACUACGUGCCAGCAGCCGCGGUAAU